rnacentral:tRNA from 1 species
GGGGCUGGGGCUCAGUGGUAGAGCACUUGCCUAGCAUGUGUGAGGCAUUUGGUUCAAUUCUCAGCACCA